UGGGGAAUAUUGGACAAUGGGCGCAAGCCUGAUCCAGCCAUGCCGCGUGUGUGAAGAAGGCCUUCGGGUUGUAAAGCACUUUCAGCGGGGAGGAAGGGGUUGUUGUUAAUAGCAACAAUCUUUGACGUUACCCGCAGAAGAAGCACCGGCUAACUCCGUGCCAGCAGCCGCGGUAAUACGGAGGGUGCAAGCGUUAAUCGGAAUUACUGGGCGUAAAGCGCACGUAGGCGGUAUGUUAAGUUGGAUGUGAAAGCCCCGGGCUCAACCUGGGAAUUGCAUUCAAAACUGGCAUGCUAGAGUAUGUGAGAGGGGGGUAGAAUUCCAAGUGUAGCGGUGAAAUGCGUAGAGAUUUGGAGGAAUACCAGUGGCGAAGGCGGCCCCCUGGCACAAUACUGACGCUCAGGUGCGAAAGCGUGGGGAGCGAACAGGAUUAGAUACCC
rnacentral:rRNA from 1 species